UACGGAGGGUGCAAGCGUUAUUCGGAUUUACUGGGCGUAAAGCGCACGUAGGCGGUUUGAUAAGUCGGAUGUGAAAGCCCCGGGCUCAACCCGGGAAGUGCAUUGGAUACUGGCAGACUAGAGUCUAGUAGAGGGCGGCGGAAUUCCAGGUGUAGAGGUGAAAUGCGUAGAGAUCAGAAGGAAUAACAGAGGCGAAGGCGGCUGCCUGGACUAUAACUGACGCUCAGGUGCGAAAGCGUGGGGAGCAAACAGG
rnacentral:rRNA from 1 species